CCUCCUUCACUUUACUAACGUGUUCAACAAAGAAGGAGUCCACGUUUUCAAGUUUUGAGAACCCGGUUUUUGGUUUAUCUUUUGAAGAAACCCUAAAAGUCAAACUGCUAUGACAUAUCACGUGUUCACAGAGCUCUCUAUCUCUCUUCCCUGCAGAUCAAAGAAAACGUCAAAAACCCUACACACUCUCCCACCCUUCUUUCCCUUUCCUAUCCUCUUCUUCUUCUCUGUAUCAUCUAUUCUCCAUCUUUUCUUUUCCAUUUCGAGCUAGGGUUCAAAAAACCCAAAAACAACCCUUCUGUAUCUCAGUUUCUCCCUGAAAUACAUACCCUAUCUUUGCUUAAAACUGCAAUUGUUAAAGUUUUUGUUUCAAAAUUCAAAUGGAUUUUAAACACCCGCCUCUAAAUUCCCCCUUCAUUCAAAUGCUAAAAACCCUAAUCAGAUUUCAAUAUACUGACAACGUUCUUUUUCUUUCAUGGUUCUCUUUCUCGCUCUCUAAUGGCUUCUGGUUGUCAGUGUUGUUGGUGUCUUGGGUUAGCGAAUCGCAAAGUUGGCUAGGGUUCAGGCCGAAUUCCGCUCACGCAGGUAAGUCCGGUGCCAAAGUUUUCAUGUUUGGAUGCAUCAGUUUCGUUUUUAUCAGUGGUACGUAUUCAUCACCUGUUUGAGAUUAUUCAAGGUUUUUGUUCAGUAAUUUUGUCUAAUUUGUCGAUUUGGGGGAAAAGUUUGAUUCAAUUUGUUUCAGUGACAUUGUUGACCAAUUAAAGUAAUGGGGUUGUUUCUUUAUCCUCAAAAAGUUUGAGAUUAUUCAAGGUUUUUGUUCAGUAAUUUUGUCUAAUUCAAUUUGUUUCUUUAUCCCCAAAAAGUAAUGGGGUUGUUUCUCUAUCCUCAAAAAGUUUGUUAAUUGGGUCAAAAUUGAUGGUUUGGGUGUGGGUUUGACUUUUUGGGAGUCAAACAUCAUGGGUGUGUUUGAAAGGUUGAAUCUUGGAGUUUUUUUCCCAAAUUGUUGACCAAUUAAAAUAUGGAUUUUUUUUAUUUAGUAGGUAUGGAGUUUGGUUUUUCAUGUGGAACUUGAUAAAGGUCCACUGGACCAAUUCACACAUGAGAUGGAGCCAUGUAAUUGAUUUUGAGUUCAGAUUUGGGGGAAUCUGCCUGUUCAUAACAGCAUGGAUUAACUAGCAGCUGCAGCAUUAUGUUACGAUUAUGACGAGGGCCCUAAACUGUUGAUUUGCAGAAAGCUAAGGAGAAGGUGCAAACGAAAUGCUUUACUUUUCCUUAUCCCGGAAGAGGUGAAGUUUCUUCACUAACAUUCGUACCUUUUACAUUAUUGGGUUACUACAGUUUGACUCUAGAUCUUGAAAGUCAGGGUGAGAGGCCAGGCUUCACGUAUGCGAGGCGUUAUUCUAUACACCAAAUUUUAGCUAUUGUGGCCUUCAUAUUUAGUGUAUGACAUCUGAUGAAUUUCUUUAUGUAGGUUUCCCCCUGUGAUUUUCUACACACCCAAUUAACAUCUACUGUAGUUGAAGUCUUGAAUUCGUGAUUUUCACAUUUUAAUUUGAAGUAAAUGAACUGAGAUUAACUUGUGGAUUGGUAUCGUUUUGAAUUCAGCUUAUGAUGAAGCCAUGGAUGCUUUGUCUUCUACCAUCACCAAAAAGAGUCGUUCUCGUAAACCAGUCUCUGACCAUAGAUUUGAGCGGGUGUUUGACUAUGUUAAGAUUUUGGAUUUGGAGAAGUAGAUUUCGCAGAUGAAGAUCAUCCAUGUUGCAGGCGCUCAAACGGAAAGGUAAUGUGUUAAUAUAUAUGUAUGUAUUACAUUAUUUUCGUCUUACCCAUUCUCCCUAAGGGCCCAUCAUAUGAUGUGUAUGAUUAUAGGGCUGAACAAAGUCAUAUUUGAGAUUUCUAUAUAGUGUUUAAUUUAUGCAUACAAGUUGCUCCAGACCUUUUAAAUUUACAUUAUUCAAAGGAAGAUUGUAUGUAUUACAAUGACUAUAGAUCCAUGUUUUAUUGGGAAUAAAUAGUUAUACAUUUUAGUUAUA